UCGUAAGCGCACGCAGCUGUCGUAGUCAGAUGGAUCAGGAAUCGACCUGGGAACGGUCUGAUACUGGCAAGUAAGAGUAAUAGAGAGAGGGGGGUAGAAUUCCAGGUGUAGCGGUGAAAUGCGUAGAGAUCUGGAGGAAUACCGGUGGAGAAAGAGACCCCCUGGACGAAGACUGACGCUCAGGUGCGAAAGCGUGGGGAGCAAACAGGAUUAGAUACCCUGGUAGUCCACGCCGUAAACGAUGUCGACUUGGAGGUUGUGCCCUUGAGGCGUGGCUUCCGGAGCUAACGCGUUAAGUCGACCGCCUGGGGAGUACGGCCGCAAGGUUAAAACUCAAAUGAAUUGACGGGGGCCCGCACAAGCGGUGGAGCAUGUGGUUUAAUUCGAUGCAACGCGAAGAACCUUACCUGGUCUUGACAUCCACGGAAGUUUUCAGAGAUGAGAAUGUGCCUUCGGGAACCGUGAGACAGGUGCUGCAUGGCUGUCGUCAGCUCGUGUUGUGAAAUGUUGGGUUAAGUCCCGCAACGAGCGCAACCCUUA
rnacentral:rRNA from 1 species